ACAUUGCAGUCCAGCUAUAUGAAGGUAGCCUUGAUGGUCUUUGUAUCGUUUCAAACUGCAAACAUCAAUGCUUCUGACAUCACAAUGGUUUUGGUAACACUAUUUAUCAGGGCUUUGUAUUGUGGUUGCAACAUGCUU
rnacentral:snoRNA from 1 species